CAGUGUUGAGCCGCGAGGGUGAAAACAUAACUUCACCGACAAGGCGUAGAAAUCAAGGACUCGAGGUUGGCAACAUUUUGAUUUGAUCUGCAGGAGCAAAUUUAAUGGUGAAUUCCCUGGAAGGAUCGAUUCGACCAUGGUUUCUCGAUCUCGUUCCUCUGAUGGUCGUUUUCCUCAUUGGUGCUCACGUCCUCGCGUUGGUUUACUGGAUUUAUAGACUAGCAACUGAGAAGCAGCCGGGCAGAGCAAAAAGGCAGUAGACGAAGGAGUACAGAAGAGUUGGUUCAGAGGAGAAAUAGAGAGAAAACUUUAAUAUGAAGCUUCUUCCAAAUCCACGAGGGAUUGAGUGAGCGACUGAUGGCAUUGAGUUGGGAAAUUGUCCGUUGAUUUUGUAAAUUGUAAGUAGCAGUUCUGAAUAGAUUUCAUUAGCUAUAUCCACUGUGUAGAAUGUAGAAUCAGAAGCAUAACACUCUUCAAAUUCAUUUCAUUAAGUUUUGCUUCACCAUUGAAGAAGAAUUUGGGGACUUGUAACUAUAGAGCUGCACAAUGCCUUGAUUAUGUGUUGAGACAGUUUAGAUGGUUUCGUAUCCCAUAUUCACAUGCUUUGGUUAUGCCUUUUAGUAAUAAUAAUAAUCAUGAAACAAAAUCAUGAAAGUGCGUACUGGGUAAAUUUCCGACCGAACUUAAUACCCUACA